rnacentral:tRNA from 1 species
ACCUGGCUGGCUUAGUUGGUGGAGCAUGGAGCUCUUGAUACCAGGGUUGUGAGUUCUAGUCCCAUGUUGGGUA